GGCUCAGAUUGAACGCUGGCGGCAUGCUUUACACAUGCAAGUCGAACGGCAGCGCGGGGCAACCUGGCGGCGAGUGGCGAACGGGUGAGUAAUACAUCGGAACGUACCCAGAAGUGGGGGAUAACGUAGCGAAAGUUACGCUAAUACCGCAUACGUUCUACGGAAGAAAGUGGGGGACCUUCGGGCCUCAUGCUUUUGGAGCGGCCGAUGUCUGAUUAGCUAGUUGGUGAGGUAAAGGCUCACCAAGGCGACGAUCAGUAGCUGGUCUGAGAGGACGACCAGCCACACUGGGACUGAGACACGGCCCAGACUCCUACGGGAGGCAGCAGUGGGGAAUUUUGGACAAUGGGCGCAAGCCUGAUCCAGCAAUGCCGCGUGAGUGAAGAAGGCCUUCGGGUUGUAAAGCUCUUUUGUCAGGGAAGAAACGGCCUGGGUUAAUACCCUGGGCUAAUGACGGUACCUGAAGAAUAAGCACCGGCUAACUACGUGCCAGCAGCCGCGGUAAUACGUAGGGUGCAAGCGUUAAUCGGAAUUACUGGGCGUAAAGCGUGCGCAGGCGGUUUUGUAAGUCUGACGUGAAAUCCCCGGGCUCAACCUGGGAAUUGCGUUGGAGACUGCAAGGCUGGAGUCUGGCAGAGGGGGGUAGAAUUCCACGUGUAGCAGUGAAAUGCGUAGAGAUGUGGAGGAACACCGAUGGCGAAGGCAGCCCCCUGGGUCAAGACUGACGCUCAUGCACGAAA
rnacentral:rRNA from 1 species